AAUUUUUGUUAUUAUUAGAGAAUGAUGUAGAAUAUUGACAGGUGAGCGUAAUGGAAUACCUAUUGGUAAAAUGGUAAGUUUGUAAUUACAUUUUAUUGAAAGUGCAACUACAUAUCAGUGCUUCAUUUCAAUUAGUUUUUAUUGAAGGAAAGUUGUAUUCUGCAGACUACUUCAAAAUGGUUGUAUGUUUGUCCGAAAGGAAUUCAUGAUCUGUUGCUGUAUAUCAAAACAAAGUACAACAACCCUUUGAUCUAUAUCACUGAAAAUGGUAAUGUAGCAGUUCAGUUUAAUCAUGAAAUUUUCAUUUAUCAAAGUUUAAAUCAUUGAAGUAAGAGAGAGAAUUGAUAUAAUGUGUUUUUCCUUCUCAUAGUGAUAUGUUAAAGAAACAAUUUAUUCACUUGUGUAUAUAGGUAUAGAUGAAUUCAAUGAUCACACUCUAUCACUUGAAGAAGCCUUAGCAGAUACUUCAAGAAUUGAUUACUUUUAUGAUCAUCUCUAUUAUCUUCAAAGUGCAAUCGAGUAAGUGCUUUACACCAUCUUCAAAAUGUGUUAAGGCCAGAAAAAAGCUUCCUAAUUAUAUGAUAAUGUAUUACUUUUUUGUUUUGAUUUUAUUAGGAAUGGCGUGAAUGUGAAAGGAUAUUUUGCAUGGUCUUUAACUGACAGCUUCGAAUGGAAUUUAGGGUACAUUUCAAGAUUUGGAACAAUCUUUGUAGAUUACCAUAACCUCAAAAGAUAUCCAAAGUCAUCUGCCAUUUGGUUUAGAGAUUUCCUACAAGGCAAAAUAGAUACAUAUGACAAUUAGUUGCUGCUAAGAAAAUUAAUUUCAACAGUGUAAUUGUACGAUUCAAAUCAUCAUACUUCUAUUCUUCAAUUUAUGUGUCAAUAAUGUAAAAGUAUGGUUUUGUUAGUGUCUAUUUUGAGUUGGAAUCUUCUAUGGAUUUAUAUGGGAAAGAACAUUAUUAUUAUUAUUAUUAUUAUUAUUAUUAUUAUUAUUAUUAUUUAGAUUAGGCUGACACUCUAGGUUUCAGCAAUUUAUAUUACGAAAAUCUAUAUUAACAAGAGAUAAUCAAGUCAAAGCUAUAAUAACUAUAAAUUGUUUGUUUUAAAUUAUAUUCUUUACCUCAAUUUUUUUUAAAUAAAGAAUGUAGAAUUCUUAUUUAUAAGUUCAUUCCAAGAUCAAAUCUCUUUUCUUAAUUGAUAUAAGUUCACUCCAAGAUCAAAUCUCUUUUCUUAAUCCGUAUGUAAUGUAAAAAAAUUUAUUUUUAAUUUUUUCAUUAUUAUUAAUUAUUAUUUUAUCCUAUUUAUAUUUUUUAUUAAUCCUGGAGGCAUUCUGCACUGGAUUGGACUCGAACCCAAGUCAUAAGACCCGAACCCAAGCCCCUAGCCUUGGUAUUUUUUGAAAAAUUCUUCCGGAAUAGUUUUUUCCUGAAAUUCCAUGUAAGAAUCUCCACAGAAUUUGGGACAAAACGCGACAAAUUUCCGAAAACAGAACGUCCUGACUUAUCUUUCGAAUAUCUUCUUUUUGUGAUUCUUUUAUGGACGUGCCUCCUUACCUGGGUGCAAACAACAUAUGAAAGUACUUGUGUGAAUUUUUUCAACGCGAUACGAAUCCAGAAUAAAAAUUGCAGAAAGUAGGACGAAAUUUCACAAGUUUUGGUAGAGGAUAUAGCCUUGGUAUUUUCUGAAAAAUUCUCCCGGAAUAUUUUUUUCCUGAAAUUCCACGUAAAAAUCUCCAUUGAAUUUGACACAAAACGCCACAAAUUUCAGGUCAAACGGAUGAGUAUUCACCCACAAAAAAAUCAAACAGUUUCACACACAAACGAACCUUCCCUUCAACCGUGGCUGUGAUCAAUAAAAAAUUUAUUGCCAAUCUUGUGGGACGAAUCUGGGGCUCAAAUCUCAGCCAAAACUCAAAAGACACAGUUUCGAAAGUCUGGUAAAAAUUUCAGACCAAAAGACCCAAGGAGUAAGGUGUAGUAACUCCCAGACCCAGACUGAACAAAACUGGUUUUUCGAAAACCGAACAUCCUGGCUUUUCUUCCGCGUAUCUUCUUUUUGUGAUUUGUUUAUGGACGUGCCUUCUUACCUGCGUGCAAACAACAUAUGAAAGUAUUUGUGUGGUUUUUUUCAGCGCGAUACGGAUCCAGAAUAAAAAUUGCAGAAAGUAGGGCGAUAUUUCAUAAGUUUUGGUAGAGGAUAGCCUUGGUAUAAUCUGAAAAAUUCUCCCGGAAUAGUUUUAUCACAAAGUUCCACGUAAGAAUCUCCACUGAAUAUGGGACAAAACGCGACAAAUUUCAGGUCAAACGGAUGAGUAUUCACCCACGAAAAAAAUCAAACAGUUUCACACACAAACGAACCUUCCCUUCAACCCUGACAGUGAUGAAGAAAAAAAUUAUUGCCAAUCCUCUGGGACAAAUCUGAGGCUUAACUCUCAGCCAAAACUCAAUAGACACAGUUUCGAACGCCUGGUAAAAAUUUAAGACCAAAACACCCAAGGAGUAAGGCGUUGUAAGUCCCAGACCCAGACUGAACAAAACUCGUUUUCCAAAAACAGAACGUCCUGACUUUUCUUCCUCGUAUCUUCCUUUUGUGAUUUUUUUAUGGACGUGCCUCCUUACCUGGGUGCAAACAACAUAUGAAAGUACUUGUGUGGAUUUUUUCAGUGCGAUACGGAUCCAAAAUAAAAAUUGCAGAAAGUAGGGCGAAAUUUCACAAGUUUUGCUAAAGAAUGAUAGCCUUGGUAUUUUCUGAAAAAUUUCCCGGAUUAGUUUUUUCCUGGAAUUUGACGUAAGAAUCUCCACUGAAUUGGGGACAAAACGCGACAAAUUUCAGGUCAAACGGAUGAGUAUUCACCCACGAGAAAAAUCAAACAGUUUCACACACAAACCAACUUUUCCUUCAACCCUGACAGUGAUCAAUAAAAAAUUUAUUGCCAAUCUUUUGGGAUGAAUCUGAGGCUCAAAUCUCAGCCAAAACUCAAUAGACACAGUUUCGAACGUCUGGUAAAAAUUUUAGACUAAAACACCCAAGGAGUAAGGCGUAGUAUGUCCCAGACCCAGGCAGAACAAAACUGGUUUUCCGAAAACAAAACUGGUUUUGUUCCGCGUAUCUUCCUUUUGUGAUUUGUUUAUGGACGUGCUUCCUUACCUGGGUGCAAACAACAUACGGAUCCAGAAUAAAAAUUGCAGAAAGUAGGGCGAAAUUUCACUCAAACCCACCCAAGUCAUAGGAUUGAGUUAUUUCCACCUUCCUUCUCAUCUGAAGAAAUGUUUUGCUUUUUUGCCUUAUUUCCCAAAGGUUAUGAGUUUGACAAGGAGUGUUUAAUUCAACUGUGAAUGACUGAAAAUUUUCUAGCAACCCCUUUGCAGAAAAGGAGUCCUAAAGAAGUUGGAGAACAGUAUUUCAAUGAUAUGUUAUCUUGGUCCUUUUUUCAUGAAUCUGGAAAAGAAGAGGAAAAGCAUUUUAUAAUGCAUGACCUUUUAAAUGAUUUGGCAAAAUUUGUUUGUGAGGACAUCUGCAUCAGGUUAGGAGUUGAUGAUCCAAUACUCAAGGCAAGCCGUCAUUUUUAAUUAUAUGAAAUUAAUUUUAUUGCAUUAUAGAGACUAUCGUUGACAUUAUUUGGCAUCAUUUAUUCCAAUAACAGGAGAAAAAAAAUUCUUAAAACUAGUUUGAGUCGAAAGUUUUAAAUAGUUUCCAUUCUUGAUUUUCGCUUGAGUCUGGAACUUUAGUUGAGCACAUGUGUGGAUUUGAUUUUAUAACAAAACGUCUUGUUCCCAAUCACCCUUCUGCUUACUAUACUGACUUGCACCAGGAGCACUCUUCCAACCAUCAGGGCUCGUCUUCCACGUCGUCAUGUCAAAGAGGAGACAAUGCCCUUGUUCUCCAAAGCCAGAAGUCCUCGUGGCCCGAAAUCCUCUCUACCUUUGAUGGAACGGUUCAGAAUCAGUUGAAACACGAAGUGGAGGAAAUUCAAAAGUCCAAGAAAGAGCUUGAAGACGCCAAUCUGAAGGUCGCUCAGCUUGAAGCCAAGCUUUCUGAAAUGGCUCAAGAUAGGGACGAUGCCCUUGGCAAACUUCAAAGGACCGUCGAAGAUUAUGCUCGGCACCGAGAUGAACGUCACGCCGCAAAUCGGGCUUGGGAGUAUACAGAGAACAUGCUCCAAGACAGGAUAUCGACCCUGAAUACUGCCUUGGAAACUGUCAAAGAUGAGAGUGGUCGGUGCUUUGUCGAAGGUUUCAAUGGAGCACUUGAGCAAUUUCACGUUCUUUACCCUCAUCUGGAUACGUCCACGUUUGAUCCCUUCAAAAGUGUUGAUCAAUGACUUUCAGUUCUUUACUGUCUUAACUUGAAAAACUCUUAGAAACACUUUAAGUAUGGAUGUAUGAGCUAGUAUAUUUAUAUUUUGCUUUAGCAACUGCUUAAUGAAUUGCCUCUACGUAUAUAUAUUCCACUAGUCUCUUCCAUGAUCCCACCUCUCUUAUUUAACACACAUGUUUAUGAUCCUGCUCAUCUUCUGAACAAAUACUAUAAUUUUCAUACACUAAGAUAUGCUUUAUGUUUAAGCAAAUUCGAAUUGGAAUGACUUACACAGAUAAUUUAUGAAUAAUGAUAUGCUUUAUGCAGUCCUCGUACCUUGCUUUAGACCGAGAUCAUUCCCGGUUUUCUUUUAUUUCUCCACUCUCAACUAGUUUUUGUCUUAUGGCAUUCAUACUUGGUUCUUCAUUCACAAGGAAGCGACAAUUGUGCUAGAUACCGUGCAGGAUAAGAACCCAUACAUGGUUUUUGUAUUAAGACCCUUACAUGGUUUUUUCAUUUUCAUAAGGAACGAGGCUGAUCUCCUGUGAAUUACAAACUUGUACACACCAUGUUGUAAUAUACUGAAUAAACGAUCUUAUUUCCAAGAAACAUGAAUUUUUAAACAAACCAACAGAAAUUUCACAAAUGUUUAAUUAACUGUAAUAAAAACGUAGAUUAAUCAUGUUCCAAGUUUUAUACUGUCUUAUUGUUUUUGUUUCCAACCAACCUCAAAAUCCUGAAAAAUUCUCAACUAUCUAAUUUCAGACAAUAUCCUUUUUUGAGAAAAAUUUAAUUGCUUUUUCUAAUAGAACAAUUUAAAAGUGGCCAUAGAGAUGUUCAUACAAAGUAAUGAAACCUGGAAAAUGUUGGUCUUCUAACUAUUUGACAAAAUGUCUCACUCAAACAAAGGUAGCAGUAGCUCCUUCAUAUUGUCAUUAUGGAAUUAACAAAGAAUCUUCCUCUGUAAGUUAUAUGAGAAUAGGGUGACAUAAGCAAUAAAACUUUCUAAAAUAAGAUUACAAGAUCAGUUUUAUAAUUAGUUUUGAAUGACUUGAAUAAGUUGAGUUUAUAAUAUAUAAUUGAGGACCUAGAAAAUCUUGCAACCCAAAUCGAUUUUCUAGGUUUGAAAAAGGUUAGUGGUGUUGGGGUUGGAUCAGGAUCGAGUAGUAAAUUAACAUAUACAUCUUUGCCAAAUGAAAGUGUUAAGUAUGGCAGAGAUGAAGACAGAGACUUUGUCUUUAACUGGCUCACAUGUGACACUCACAACAACCUAUCUAUACUUUGUAUUGUGGGCAUGGGUGGGUUGGGUAAGACCUCACUUGCUCAACAUGUAUUCAAUGACCCAAGGAUUGAAGGUAAAUUUGAUAUUAAAGCUUGGAUCAGUGUUCCACAGGAAUUUGAUGUUCUCAAUGUAUCAAAAGCAAUUCUUGACACAAUUACUGGUUCAGAUGAUCAUAGUAUACAGCAGGAAGUGGUUCAGAAAAGACUGAAAGAAAAAUUGACGGGGAAGAAAUUUCUUCUCAUUUUGGAUGACGUUUGGAAUAAAAGACAAUCUAAAUGGGAAGAUGUAUAGAAGCCCCUACUUUUCGGAGGCCAAGGCAGUAGGAUUCUUGUCACUACACGUAGUGAGAAGGUUGCUGCUACCAUGCAAUCAGAAAAGCACCUCCUGGAGGUGUUAAGAAAAGAUUAUGGCUGGGACUUGUUCGCAAAACAUGCAUUUCAAAGUGCUAGUCAACAACCGGAUCCAGAGUUCAUAGAGAUUGGUAAGAAGAUAGUUGAAAAAUGUAAUGGGCUUCCUUUAGCCUUGAAAACAAUGGGAAGUCUAUUGCACAAUAAAUCAUCCUUCUGGGAAUGGGAAAUCAUUAUGAAAAGUGAGAUAUGGGAUUUUUCAGAAAAUGAAAGUGAUAUACUCCCUGCUUUAAGAUUGAGUUAUCUCCACCUUCCUUCUCAUCUGAAGAAAUGUUUUGCUUUUUGUGCCUUAUUUCCCAAAGGUUAUAAGUUUGACAAGGAGUGUUUAAUUCAACUGUGGUUGGCUGAAAAUUUUCUAGAAAGCACUCUACAGAAGAGGAGUCCUAAAGAAGUUGGAGAACAUUAUUUCAAUGAUCUGUUAUCUUGGUCCUUCUUUCAAGAAUCUAGAAAAGAAGAGGAAAAGCAUUUUAUGAUGCAUGACCUUCUAAAUGAUUUGGCAAAAUUCGUCUGUGAGGACAUUUGCAUCAGGUUAGGAGUUGAUGAAACAAAAGGUAUAUCCAAGACAAACCGUCAUCUUUCAUUUCCAACCACUCAUAUUCAUUAUUUUGAUGGGUUUGGAAGCUUGAUUGAUCCUCAAAAGUUGCAUACAUUUAUGCAAACUGAAUCGAGAAUGUAUAAAGCUUUUUGUCACCCUUGGUAUUGUGAGAUGUCGAUAGAUGACUUGUUCACCAAAUUUAAGUUCAUACCCGUCUUGUCUUUGUGUCGUUGUAGUAAUCUUACAGAGUUUCCGCAAUCUGUAGGAAAUCUUAAACAUCUCCGUUCCUUAGAUCUUUCUUACACUGACAUAGAGAAACUACCUGACUCGAUAAGUUUACUCUACAUGUUACAAAUACUGAAGCUGAACUAUUGUCAAAGACUGAAGGAGCUUCCCUCAUGUUUGCAUCAACUGGACAAUUUGCGAUGCCUUGAAUUUAUAAAUACUGGAGUGAAAAAUGUGCCAGCACAUUUGGGAAGGCUGAAGAAUCUCCAAGUAUUGAUGAGUUCGUUUUUCGUUGAGAAAAGUAAGGAAUUCAGUAUUCAGCAAUUAGGAGAACUGAAUCUUCAUGGAAGUCUAAGAAUUCAUGAGCUGCAGAAUAUUGAGAAUCCCUCUUAUGCAUUAGAAGCAGAUUAGAGUUAGAAUGGAAGUAUAUGGGCAUCGGUUCAACAAAAGAUGGGGAUGUCAUUGAGAAUCUACAACCUUCAAAAUACUUGAAGAAGUUGUCAAUAAGAAACUAUGUUGGUAAACAAUUUCCAAAUUGGUUACUCAAUAAUUCAUUACCCAAUCUGGUGUCUCUAGUGUUGCGCAAUUGUAAAUCUUGCCAACGUUUUCCACCCCUUGGUCUUUUGCCAUUUCUGAAGAAGCUGGUGAUUUCAAGGUGUUAUAAGAUAGUGAUAAUUGAUGAUGAUUUUCAUGGGAACAACUCUUGUUCAUUUAAAUCCCUAGAGACAUUGGCGUUCUCCUUUAUGGAACAUUGGGAAAAAUGGGAAUGCCAAGCUAUGACAGGCGCUUUUCCACGUCUACAAUACCUUUCAAUAACGGUUUGCCCAAAGCUGCAGUUGGAGUGGAGUACAAUGAAAAGACUCAGAAUGGAUGGGUCCGACACUUCUCUUCAACACUUGGACAUUUAUUCAUUCCCAAAGGCAAUGAGUGAUGACUAUCUCUCUCCAAGUACCUUUCCACUACAUUUCUUCCCAAAACUCAGGACGCUUGAACUCUAUGAGUUCCUUAAUCUACAAAUGAUAUCACAGGGUCUCAUUUGUAAUCAUCUAGAAGAGCUGGAAAUCAGAAGAUGCCAUAGAUUUGAAUCAUUGCCUAGAAACAUGCAUACGCUACUUCCAUCCCUCAGGAGGCUACGGAUAGAAGACUGUCCAAGACUUGAGAGUCGUUCCCCGAUGGAGGUUUGCCAUCGAAUCUAGAAGAGCUGAAAAUCAUUAAGUGUUAUAGACUUGUUGGCUCACUGAAAGGAGCUUUUGGAAACAGUUCUUCUUUGCAAAACUUGUGUAUUGAACAAAUGGAUGCAGAAUGUUUUCCUGAUGAAGGUUUGCUUCCACUCUCUCUUACUUCUCUAUCCCUCUAUCAUUGUCCAAAUCUAGAGAAACUGGAUUACAAGGGUCUCCAUCAACUCUCAUCUCUCAAAAGAUUGAUUCUUUUUUACUGCCCCAAUGUCCAAUGCUUACCAGAUGAGGGUCUUCCCAAAUCAGUUUCAAAUCUUCAUAUAAGUGAGUGUUAUUGGCUGAAACAGCGUUGCCAAAACGAAGGCGAAGACUGGGAAAAGAUUACUCACAUUAAAGAUGUGUACAUGGAGUAGUGAUGUUUGUUUUGAACACUGAUGCAUGGCUACAAUUUAUUUUUCUUUUGAAUGUGUGUCAAUUGUAGUAGUGCCAUGACCAUCAGUUCAUUCCCUAAGUUUAUCAUUGUUGUUUCGUGCCCUGGGGUAUGUUAGGAUCAUAGAGGGUAAGGAGGGAACCAUGUAUCUGGUUUAUCUGUUAUAUCAGUUUUAUAUGUUAAGCUGCAGCUACACAUGCAGGGUCCCUUAAGAGGAUGUAUCUGGUUUGAGUAGUUUAUCUUCAUGUGUAAAUGCUAGCUAAAUGGGGUCUUUAUAAAAGGGUUUAAGUGUGCCCUUUUUAAUUUAAUUUAUUCUUUGUGGAUAAAAAAAAACUUUAACUGAUAUCUACUUUUUUUUUACCAUUAUCUAGGAAGGAUUUUCAAGAUUAUGCGGAACUUUGUUUUAAAGAAUUUGGAGACAGGGUAAAACAUUGGAUUACAUUAAAUGAACCAUGGACCUUUAGUAAAUAUGGGUAUGCUGAUGUUAUUUCACCAUCUGGAAGAUGUUCAACCUGGCAAAACUUUAUCUUGUGCUAAUGGUGAUUCAGCCACUGAACCCUACAUAGUGAGUCACAAUCAAUUACUUGCUCAUGCAGCUGCUGUCAAUGUCUAUAAGACAAAAUAUCAGGUUCAAUUACAACUUUUGUAUUUUGAAAUGCAAUCAGAAUAAGUGUAUUGAUUUCCUUAUUCAAUCAAAGAGUCAUAAUAAACUAGUCCUAAACUUAAAUUUUGCUUCAUGUAUGUACGUGUCUCAAAAGGGUGUGAUAGGGAUAUCACUGUCAUGUCAUUGGAUAGUACCACUCUAUUAUACAGAGUCCGAUCACCACCUUGGUUUUAUAUUUGGAUGGUAACUACUUUAUGAACCUAAAUUCUAAUGUGGAGCUCAAGUAUAGUAUGAUAGUGAUUCUAUAUUAUUUUGUCAUUUUAAUUCAAUAUAUUGUAGGAGAAAGAUUCAAAUCUUGUCACACAAUGAGGCCUCAUGAUAUAAUAUGUUUUCCUCCAUAACAAUUUAACACUGGAAUGUAAUAGAAUGUGUGUGUACUUAGAAAAAAUUACUUUCAUUUUAUGAUUAGUCAGAGACAUAAAAAUUAAAGGGACAAAAGCUUGAUAUAGUGGUCAGAUAAGAACACAAAACUUAUCAUGAAGAACACCCAAAGAGCAGUCCAAUCCAUGACAGGUUAUUCAGAUGAAAAAUCCUACAAUAAAUACAUAUUAUCUACUCAACUAUAUAUAAUGCUAUGAUUAAACUAAUAAUCCCAAUAACUAAUUUAUUCAAAUACUGUAUUGUAGGUUUAAAAAACGACCUCAUUUUGGUAAUAAGGGGCAAAAGAGAUUGCCUCAGUUUCGUACAAAAACCGAUAAAUGAGAUUAUAACUAUAUGAUACCAUUCAAACUAUCUUUGUUAUUCUAAUCCAUCAUUUUAAUUUAGUUAUAUAUAUAUGUUUGAGGUGCAACACAAAUUGCAGCUGAUGAAUCAAAAUCAAGUAUUUAUAUUGUUAAUUUUUGUUUUUAGUAGAGAAUGAUGUAGAAUAUUGACAGGUGAGCGUAAUGGAACACCUACUGGUAAAAUGGUAAGUUUGUAAUUACAUUUUAUUGAAAGUGCAACUACAUAUCAGUGCUUCAUUUCAAUUAGUUUUUCAAUGAAGAAAAGGAAAGUUGUAUUCUGCAGACUACUUCAAAAUGGUUGCAUGUUUGUCCG
rnacentral:lncRNA from 1 species